AGUGAAGCGGUAAAAGCUCAAAUUUGAAAUCUUCGGAAUUGUAAUUUGACGGGUAGAAUUUGUUUUUUAAAGAAAGUUCACUGGAAUGUGACGCCACAGAGGGUGAUAGCCCCGUUAACUAAAGAAACUAUUUAAUUCUAUUCCUAAGAGUCGGGUUGUUUGGGAAUGCAGCUCAAAGUGGGUGGUAAAUUCCAUCUAAAGCUAAAUAUUGGCGAGAGACCGAUAGCGAACAAGUACAGUGAUGGAAAGAUGAAAAGAACUUUGAAAAGAGAGUGAAAUAGUACGUGAAAUUGUUGAAAGGGAAGGGAAAGGGGGAGAUAAUUCAAGCUAAUACUUCUGGUGUUGCUUGACCACAUCUUGCUCUUUUCACCCGUCUUGAAACACGGACCAAGGAGUCUAACGAUUAUGCAAGUAUUUGAGUAAAUCCCCAAAUGCGGAAUGAAAGUAAUUGGUCAAACCUACCCUCCUGUUCUUAUGAACGGGAGAGGAAGCAUAAUUAUUAGGACCCGAAAGAUGGUGAACUAUACCUGGAUAGGGUGAAGCCAGAGGAAACUCUGGUGGAAGCUCGUAGCGGUUCUGACGUGCAAAUCGAUCGUCAAAUCUGGGUAUAGGGGG
rnacentral:rRNA from 1 species